CCGUGGCUCCUCCUUGAGGUGUCGUCGGAGGGUCGCGUGCUUCUCGUCUAGCGUUGGGACGACGCGUGAGUGGCAUAUAGGGCAUGAUCCCAGUGUAGGCUCCGUGCUUCUUGCAUCGAACUGCCCUGGUCUGUCCGUUUCAUUAGUUGGUCCGCCACGGCCCUCUCAGGGUCGGUCGCGGCAGGCCGGAGCGUUCCUGUUCUCGAUAUUCGAAUGCGGUAGUUGGAUGGAUUCUUGUUCCCUCUAUCCACCUCCGUCUCUCGGGAGUUGGUGGAUAUUAUCGGGCCGGCAUACGACGUUCUCCAUCGGGAAAGUCGAUCCCAUUCUGGGCGCUUGUUCCCGCGAUGGCGCGUGGGUGCCGCCGGCCAUGCUCUCUGGUACGGUGACAUCGCUGGCUAUUAUAUCUCGUCGGCCGUUGUGAUAUCGACGUGUCGAAGCGUGAACGCUUCCGCUCGCGCGACUCUCGUGCUUGUCCGUCCAAGGGCUCGCGGAGCUACUGAGUUUCGCGAUCGCCUUGGUGGGUAGGCAUCGAGGUCUAGGGAGGAA
rnacentral:misc_RNA from 1 species